AGAUUGCGUGAGGGAUGGAAGCGGAAAUCCUUUGCGAAGUAUGAGCGAAGAUUGCAGCGAACAGCCCGACGGCGC
rnacentral:sRNA from 1 species